CAGGGAUCAGCUGCCCUGCAGGGAAUGCAGGUAUGCUGACUGAUAGUCCAGCAGGGAGGAGAGCAUCUGAGCAACCCUAACACCCAGCAUCAAUUGACUUUUGGUGAUGGUGGUGUCAAACGGAUCAGAGGUGACCAAGCUUCCUUCUUCUGAGGGCAGACUGCCAGUACCAAAGUGGUGUUGCUAUGGAGAAUUCCAAGUACAGUGUUGGACAAUCACGGCCUUUUAACUCUCCUACAUCAAGAUGAGAUGAAUUGUGCCAUAGACGUACCUAUUCCCCUCCUUGGAGUGCAAAGGGGC
rnacentral:lncRNA from 1 species